CCUCUCGCGUUUUCUCUCUUGCUCCUGUUCGCAUUCCUAUUCAUUCACUUCUUCCUCAGCUCUCGCGGUCUCUCCUUUCGUUGAUGUUGUCCCAUCCCUCGCAUAGCUCUCCUCCCCGCUCUCAUGGCCCUCGAUUACACCCGUUGUUGCUCCGGAUUGCGAGCUCAAGUGUAGGGUUUGGGUUUUCAAUGUCCGCUUCCUCCAUGUUUUUUUUGUCCACAUCUUUGCCUUCUUCGGCGCCUGUAGCGGCGCCAGCGACCAAGAUUUGCUUCAACACUCAGUGGAAGGAGUUUACAGAGGAUCAUAUAACGCCUUGUAGGAGGGGCUAGUGCCUCGGCUCAGGAGCGAUAGCCGAGCUCUGCACCACUGCUCAUCUGCGUUUGAGCAAGGAAUCUUCUGCGAGAUGUUUCAUUCCAAUGAUUCUGGUUGGAGGAACUGUGAGACAGCAAGAGAGUGCAUUGUUGGUGUAUCACAUCAGCUCAGUCUUAUGGUUUUCUUGACACGGGGGGAAUUGAGUGCAUUCCAUGCCCUAGGAAAGCUCUAGCAACGGCACCAAAUCAAAUAUCAUCUUCUCUGAUGUUUGUGCAACAACAUGUGCCUGAAAGGAGAGAUUCACUUGCUAAAUCCUGGAGAUCAAUGGCUAAUCCAUUGUCUGGACAGUGGCGUCAAGUUUCGCAUAUGUGGAAUAUGACAAUGCAGUCUGAUUUGCAACAAAGAUUAUCACAUGAAUUUGAUAGACCUAGUAGAUUGAGAAAUUGGCACCUGGAGGUCUCCAUUCUAUUGCAACACACGAAAAGAAAUUUCAGCCAGAGAGAAAAUUUUCUUCCGACCUUGACAAAUUUCUUACUGGAGAAAAUCAUCCUAUGUCUACAAGGAAAUCAUAAAGGAUCCGAUGAAGCUUUCGCUACUCCAUUAUCAAAGCAGUUUUACCCACAGUGUGUGAAUGAAACUGAACUGCAAUCUCAAAUGCGCAAUGGAGAACUCGAGUUGAUGUUUAUCCACAGACACAAUUGCUUCCACGAUAGUGGCCUAGGAUAACAAAUCAAGAGCUACAACAAAUAUCUGGCGAGUCUCCUAUUUUAUGUGUUUUGUCUACAAUCCUCCAUCACUCCCUUGUUUGAAAAGAUGUUAAGUGCUAGUGAUGCUGGGCAGAUUGGACGACUUGUGCUUCCAAAGAAAUGUCCAGAGCCUGAAGAACUUCCUGUAAAAGUUCAGAAUGCAAGUGGAAAAGAUUGAAUAUUCCAAUUUCAAUUUUGGCCCAACAACAGUAGGAUGUAUGUUUUGGAGGGUGUUACACCUUGUAUUCAGGCAAUGCAACUGCAAGCAGACACAGGAAGCACCAGUACUAGGGAAGAGGACAUACAUUACCUCAGAUCAAGCGUGAACAUCUUGUUUUUCUACUCAAGAGUUGAGUUUGGAGCAGAUAGCAAACAUGGUCUCUUGUAAAUCAGGUGUUUCUAAGAAGUGCAAGGCUGAAAGCAAAAGGAGGCAACGUCAAAGUGUCAGAUGAACUUGAUACACUCCCGAACAUUGCUAUUCUUGUUUACAAUGACAACUGCCAAUCUUCCCAACCACAGACAAGGCAUCCCCAUCACAAGCCUAACAAAUCUUCCGGUGAUGGAUUUAAAAAAGAUUUAUGAACUUUGCUGAUGAUGCGCUUCCACAGUCAAAUAAUACCCAAUUUGUUAUUUAAAUACACGAGUGAAUCCUCCGCUCUUAGGUAAGUCCUUUCCCACCUCUUUUCGUUCAUCUGUUUUUGUAUUUUUCAUUUCAGUCGAUACAUGGCGGCUUUCUUGAUCCUUCAAGUCAUAGGCGGCGAUCUGUAAGCUCUUUCUUUGAUCAUUUAGUAUGGCGGUGAUCGGUAAGUUUGUUUACUUUAUUUCUUUGUUUGUUUCUUUGAUCAUUUGACAUUCUGUGAUAUUUCGAGCCAUGAGACAGCUAUGCUCUUCAUUGGUUCUUUCUUUGAUAUGUUUUUUGUUAUGCAUCGAGCCAUGAGGCAGAGCUCUUCUUUCUUUCUUUAUUUGAUCAUUUCAUUUUCAUCAAUAUACUUCGAGCCAUGAGUCACGAUGUUUUAAUUUUCAGAUCUUUCUUUGGAUUUAUUAUUUACGUCUCCAGAGUUUUAAACAUAUUUCGAGUUUGUUAGUUCUUUCUAGUUAUUUGGAAACACUCGUUGGGUCAGAACUUUCAUAUAUGUUUUGCCUACCUCAUAAUUCGAUUGAAUCCCUAAGUAAUCCCUUUCCCCCUCAUCUUGCUCACUUGCUUCUGCAUUUUUUGUUUCAGACGACACAUGGUGUUUUGAAUUUCAGAUCCUUUCCCUGUAUUUCUUAUUUACGUCUCCAGUAGUAUAUACUUUGAGUUUCUUGGUUCUUUUCAGCUGUAUCGAAACAUUCGCUGGGCCAGAAUUUUUAGAUGUGUUUCACCUGACAAUAAGAUAAUUGGAAUUGAUUUAGGAAUUACAAACUCUUGUAUUUCUAUUAUGGAAUUAAAAUUUAGUCUCUUUGUUACCAGUAUUUUCAGUUCAUCCAAAAAUUAAAUUAUUUGACAUGCCAUGCCGAAUGCUAAAAUUAUAGAAAAUUCAGAAGGAGCACGUACUAUCCCUUCAUUUGUAGCUUUUAGUCAAAAUAGUGAAGUGCUUGUUGGAACCUCAGCACAUCAUUUGAUACUUACGAAUCGGAAGAAUAAUAUUCGUGAGUGUCAUAUGUUGUCCUGGGUUCCAACAAGCACUUCACUAUUUUGACUAAAAGUUACAAAUGAAGGGGUAGUACGUGCUCUUUUUGAAUUUUCUAUAAUUUUAGGAUUCUGCACAACAUGUCAAAUAAUUUAAUUUUCGGAUGAACUGAAAAUACUGAUAACAAAGAUACUAACCUUUCCUUUCCAUAAUAGAAAUACAAGAGUUUGUAGUUUCUAAAUAAAUUUCAAUUAUCUCAUUACCAGGCGAAACACAUCUAAAAGUUCUGGCCUAGCGGGUGUUUCAAACAUCUGGAAAGAACCAAGAAACUCAAAGUAUAUAUUACUGGAGACGUAAAUAAGAAAUACAGGAAAAGGAUCUGAAAUCCAAAACACCAUGUAUCGUCUGAAACGAAGAAUACAGAAGUAGGUGAGCAAGAUGAGGGGGAAAGAGCAUACUUAAGGAUUCAAUCGAGUAGGUAGGCAAAACAUAUAUGAAAGUUCUGGCCCAACGGAUGUUAACAGACAACUGAAAAGAACUAAAAAACUCAAAAUAUGUUUAAGACUUUGGAGACGUAAAUAAUAAAUUAGAAGAAAGAUCUGAAAAUUAAAACAUCGUGGCUCAUGGCUCGAAGCAUAUGGAUGAAAAUGAAAUGAUAAAAAAAAGACAAAAAGAGAGCUCUGACUCAUGGCUGGAUGCAUAACAAAAACCAGAUCAAAGAAAGAAACAAUGAAGUGCAUAGCUGCCUCAUGGCUCGAAGGAUCACAGAAUGUCAAAUGAUCAAAGAAACAAAUAAAGAAAUAAAGUAAGCAAACUUAUAAAUCACCGCCAUGCUAAAUGAUCAAAGAAAGAGUUUAUAGAUCGCUGCCUAAGACUUGAAGGAUCACGGAAGCCGCCAUGUAUCGACUGAAAUAAAGAAUGCAGAAGCAGGCGAACGAGAAGAGGAGGAAAGGACUUACCUAGGAGUGGAGGGUUCACUCGUGGGUUUAAAUAACAAGUUGGGUGUUGUUUGGUUGUGGAGGCGCGUUAUCAGCAAAGUUCGUAAAUCUUUUUUAGAAUCCAUCACUAGAAGACUUGGCCCAAUUAAUGAAGGCUCAAUACAGACAAUGCAUGUGCAGUUAGGAUGUGCUUCUUAAUUUUCUAUAAUUUUAUCAUUUUGCACAGGAUGUUAAAUAAUUUAAUUUCGGAUGAA